UUUAUUUGACUUCAUGGACUCAAAUAGCCGGAAGAAUUGACGCUAACGGUAAAAUUCAGCAACGUCAUUUUCUCUGCCAUCUUCGCCAUUGAGAUGUUGCUCAAAGUCAUCGCCGAGGGUCCGCUCAACUACGUCGUCGGCAACGGAUUCAACGUUUUCGAAGGAGUCAUCUUCAUCCUCAGGGUGUUGAUAAUUUUUCUGAAACGGUUUUUGAAUGGCGAGAAAAAUCAAUCACCUAUUGCUUUUCCCAAUAUAUGGCAACCGUUUAAUGACUCGAGAGGCAUCACCCACAACUAUACUCUAUAUGCACACAUUACUCAUUUUGGUAGAUUCGGUAAAAAACGGUCGAUUCUGGUAACGCCGGUUUCAAAAUUUUUAUUCUUAAAUAAAAUGAAUUAGUUUUGAAAAGCUAGAAUUUCCCAAAAAAAUUUUCCCUCAAACGACAACCAGGUCGGUGGUCUCGUUGGCGUAUUCCUCAGUCCAGCUAUUGUUCACUGUUGCACCGUGUUAUUUGAACUCCCGCCAUUAAUUCUCACGUUGGACACUGCAGUUUACACAGACUACAUUUUUUUUCCAAACAUGUCUCAAGAACAUCCCGAGGCCGAGACGGUACUCAACUCAUUCUCUUCGGAUCUAUCGUACUCGUCGUUGCCGUCGUUGAAGAUAGAGACGGAAACGCCAACGGUGACGGAGCGGUCGUUCGGCUUGUUUACCAUCAAUUGUGAGUUGCUUGCUCCACCGGCUUCGAAGACUGUCACCUUUAUUUGUCGUUUUAACGGUAAGCAUCAGCCACUGAAGAAAACUUCUACGUACGAAAUAACUCUUAAUCGCUCUACAAGUGCUUUGGGGUCCGUAAACUGGUUUCGACUAACUUGCUGUGCUCCAAUGAACGAUAUAGCUACCACUCCCAAUUGCCUUCCACGUUUCGUGAACUUGGACGACGGUGACGGUAAAAUUUUAGAUGUAUCACCUACGAGCGGUACAUUCACGCAUUGAGGAACAACUUUUAGAGCUGUCAAGAUAAACAAGACAAGAACUUUGCGAUGAUGUGACGUUUAAAUUUCCCUGUGGUAGCUUGUAAAAGGCCCACAAGGUCGUUUUGCGUCUCAAUAUCGAGUACUUCCAAGCUUUGUUUCGCAGCAACUAUAGGGAGUAGUUGACGGGUGAAGUCUCCGUUAUCGACAUCCCUUACCAACUCUUUGUGGACGUGGUUCGUAGUCUGACACGACAUAACUUUUAAUACCCAGAUUUUACUUUUAACGCUAGAAAGCGUGGUAACUUACUUAUCCGUUUCCAUCAUGGCAGGUGAUGCUAAAUCCAAGCAAGGCGGGCCAUCCGGCUCUACUUCAACUGAUGCUUCUUCCCCUCCCAAUGCUGACUCCGUUCACGUGAACAUACCUGAACCCCCACUACGCUACAAUACAGCUUUCUGAGUAUAAUGACAGUAACCGCCUUUGGCGGACUGACUGGGGACUGACUGGUUGAGGGCUGGGCAUCAGCAUCUUUCAUUGCGCUUUCUUGGUGUUCCAGAUGGUGAUAUGUGCCUACAUCACCUUGAUCAACAUGGAUGAAAGAGCCCAUCAACCAAAAUUUCUACCACUGGCUACUAUCCUCAUUCUGUUCACAUCAAUUAAUCUGUUUUUUUUUCUGGUGUGACCGGAACAAUGGUAAGGGAGGGGAUAUUUUUCGCUGCUCGGACUUAAGUUGACCAAUGUUUUGUUCCCCAAAAAUCCAAAAAUUUGGCUUGUCUUUUUUUUCGUCUCUCCUUUUAACUUGUCUCUUUCUCUCUUGUCUCUUUUUUUCUUUUCUUUCAUGUUUCGUACACAUUGUUAUUUUUCCUUGUCUCUUGCAUUAAACAAGCAUUAAAUAUCUAAUAUUAUACUAAUAUCUAAUAUAUAACGAGGUCGUGCCAAGAGUGCAGAGGUACUUAAAACGGAGUUGGCCACACCACCAAGCUCCACAAAGUAAAAUGUUCAAUAAGUUGUUUGGCUUAUAUUUAAAUUGAAUUUUAAAAUGUUUUCCUUCUUUAGGACCUCCACUAGAGAUGUGGCGCAUCAUCUAUCUGUCCCAGAAGGCAUGAUCACGCGUAGUAAGGCUCGGGCUCGUGCUCACAGUGGAAUUUAAAAUCAUUUUUCAUUUCAUUCUUCAUUUUUUCACUCACUUCCCAUUUUCUACAAUAAUAAUAAUUGUUUGUUUUACCAAUUUGGUUUCAUAUCUUUGUUUGAUUUGAUCUAAUAUUCAGCAUUCAAUAAAUCAUUACCAAACG